CUUGGAUCACCGCAAGAAUAGUCUAGAAGAAGUACGCCAUUGAGUUACCUACGCUAAGAAUUGAGUCUUAUGAGUUCCCUACAGUCAGCUACCAAAGAAACACAUGGGGUUUAGCCAGCAUAUAGCGCAUCAUGACGCCAAAAGUAGCGCGUGGCUUGCGGCCAACGACCCGCACGCCGGUCUUUUGAAGUUGCGUUGACCUUUGGCUUGUCCGGCAUUCCACGCUUGGCACGAUUCUUAGCGAGCAAGCUUACUGGCUAAUUUGAAUCGUCUGUGGGAAUGAGAUGCACGAUUUUGGGGGAUUUCGUGGAUAAAUUCUUUUGAUGCUCGGGUUCGCAAAUUUCAACUUCGUUGAAUUUCGCGAACUAUGGAGACAAUGUCUAAAAUUUCGCGGUAUCUGAGGAUUUUCCCAACCCGGAAUCGUUCACUUUGUUCCGUUCCGUGGAAGAGGCAAAAGCGGUCAAUUUUGUUCCGUGCCGUAGUGUGUUUUGUAAGUCGAGCAUAAGUUAGAAAAGCUCAAUUCAGUCAGUUGAUUGUAUAUUGUGUGUGCGUAGAUCCAUGUUAAGAAAGGUCCGUGGCAGCAUUAAAUUGGCGAAGCCGACACACUACACCAAUCCGAUAAGACCGUCUUUUGACCCCACGCAUCGGCUACAAAGAUUCCCGGGGUACACUUGGCCGGA